AUUGAACGCUGGCGGCAUGCCUUACACAUGCAAGUCGAACGGCAGCACGGGACCUUGCUCCUGGUGGCGAGUGGCGAACGGGUGAGUAAUACAUCGGAACGUGCCCAAUCGUGGGGGAUAACGUAGCGAAAGCUACGCUAAUACCGCAUACGAUCUACGGAUGAAAGCGGGGGAUCGCAAGACCUCGCGCGAAUGGAGCGGCCGAUGGCAGAUUAGGUAGUUGGUGGGGUAAAGGCUCACCAAGCCAACGAUCUGUAGCUGGUCUGAGAGGACGACCAGCCACACUGGGACUGAGACACGGCCCAGACUCCUACGGGAGGCAGCAGUGGGGAAUUUUGGACAAUGGGCGAAAGCCUGAUCCAGCCAUUCCGCGUGCAGGAUGAAGGCCUUCGGGUUGUAAAACUACUGUCGGAGGGACGAAGGGGCGAACCCUGACGGUACCUCGCAAGAAAGCACCGGCUAACUCUGUGCCAGCAGCCGCGGUAAU
rnacentral:rRNA from 1 species